rnacentral:rRNA from 1 species
CUUGCAAAACUUAUAAGAGGUCCAGCCUGCCCAGUGACUCUGUUCAACGGCCGCGGUAUCCUAACCGUGCGAAGGUAGCGUAAUCACUUGUUCUUUAAAUAAGGACUAGUAUGAAUGGCACCACGAGGGUUAUACUGUCUCCCCCCUUUAAUCAGUGAAACUAAUCUCCCCGUGAAGAAGCGGGGAUACUUCUAUAAGACGAGAAGACCCUAUGGAGCUUUAAACUAACUCUUAAUUACCAUCCCCCUACUAAGCUACUGCAAAUAAUAGUCAAUCUGGUUUUAUAAGAGCUAGUUUUAGGUUGGGGUGACCACGGAGUAAAAAAUAACCUCCGAGCUGCAAGGGGAAUUAUCCUUGAACCACAAGCUACAACUUUAAGCACCAAUAAAUUGACAUCUAUUGACCCAAUAUUUUGAUCAACGAAC